AUGCUUAUUUUGAGAUUCGAACGAAACGUUUAUUCGAGUGACUAGAUUUAUUCGUUCGAAUAAAUUUGAUUUAUUUUGAGAUUCGAAUGAAAAAUAUUCAUUGCAGAAAAUGAACCGAAAUGAACAGUAGUUUGGAGAUCAGCUGUUCUAAAUGAUUUGACAUUUUGAUUUGAUUUAGUGUGACCACACUAAAUUUUUAUUUUCGAAAAUUCUUAUUUUUAAUUCAGAUUUGUCACAGAUUAACAGUUUCUGGAUUGAAAAAUAAAGUAAAGUUAAUAAAGUGAUAAAGAAAAACAUCCAAGACAUGAAAUUAAACAUUUUUUCAACUAACGUAACCAUUUUGGUUUGAAUUUUCAUGUUGUGUUUAUAUCGCUUAAUAUGUUAUGUAUAUUCGUCACACAUGGUCACACUUUCAAUUGAAAUGAAAACAAUCAAAGUUUAUAAACUUCAAAUCGAUGUAGAUUUUCUUAUUUUGGAGAAAGGAAACAAUAGCAAUAGUUUUGUUUCUAAAUUCUAAUGGCGAAGAACGAGAACAUGUUCUUAGAAGAAGGAUUAUGGAUGCACCAAAUUCGUUUGCGUUUGACGAUUUAAAAUUUGUAAGGAACUUUCGCCUCAAUAAACUGGCAUUUAAAUAUGUCUUGGAUGAGCUUUCCAUCGAGAUACAGGGGGGAACUUCUUUGUCCAUACCGUAGCACCGUCUUUAGAUGGAGGCCCAUGGCUAUUGAGCUUCACGGCAGCAUCUCUUCAAAACCGGUCAACAUCUAUACGGUUUACAGAAAAACCUUUCGCUACCUGCGGAUUCUCCUCCAUCAACCUUAUCAGGAUUUCUUUUUAUUCCCUAUUUGUCCAAUUUGACUGUGUGACUGUGCCCUUUAUGAAAUAACAAAAAAAAACUCAUCAAUAUAA